rnacentral:lncRNA from 1 species
GCACAUGUUAAAGUAAUUUUAGUAAUUAAAUAAUAAAUAUAUAUAUAUAUAUGAGUGUGUGUGUGUGUAUACUUGUCAUCUGAACAAACUUGUUGUACUACAACAAAGUUGUAAAUGGUUAUAUGACAUGAUUCUGAAACUUCCAAUAAAGAAUUACAAGAGAACGUGUGAAUCUUGUGCAACCGAGUCUCAAGAGAGAGAGAGAAAGCUGUUCUGUCGCAUGCAACUGUUAUAACGUUUCUAAAUCAGCAGGAAAGUUUCUCGACACGCUAAAUAAUCAUGCAAAUCAGUUAAAGAGGUACAGUUGUUUGUUAUAUACAAAUUGCGUGUAAAGUGAUCUUUAAACUGCUUAUUUGACAAAUGUUGGAGUGUUAAAAGGAAAGGACGAGACGGACGAACGAACAAACGAACGAACGAAUCAUUCCGUGUAAUCUACCGAAAAGCUAACCGAAGUUAAAAAUUUCUUGAAAACAAAUUAAUUUGUAAAUUUUGACGCUGAUGUUUUUAUCGUAUAACUCUUUAUUCUUUUGUUUUAAGGAAAAUAUAAAAUAUUCAGAUCUUGGACCACCUCAGGAGAUUUCGGCGUCGGCUUUACGGCAUCGAGAAGCUCCUGUAUAUUAUACAGAAUGGGAAAGUCAGAGGCGACCUUCACCUAGGGGAAGAGACAGAAUGGAGGCUUAUGAAGAACAUUUGGGGACUCCCUUGAUGACUCGCGUGUUUCGGAGUUCCGAAAUAAAUUAUCUGCCUUCCAAUGAAAGGCGAACUUUGUCGACACCGGUAUGAGAAGCGAACAACGACAAUGAAUAGACUUAUCCGAAGACCAAUGUAAUCGUGUGUUAAUCAUCACAAUCCAAGUGGAUCGUAAAUUAUGAUCAUCCACUGACUCCAUAACUGAGAAUUUGUGUGAUUACAGGAUCUUGUUUGGAUAUAUUAAUAUAUUGUAUAUAGGAUUGAACGUCUGAGAUUUAAAUAUUGUAAUUUAGUAUAUUUUAAAUUAGUCGAUCAUUCGUCUGAUGGGAUGUUUUAAUUUUUUUCAAAAUCGAUUCGUAUAACGUGCCAAAUCCGAAUAUUUCAGUUGUUUUCCACCAAAAAAAAAAAAAAAAAAAACACUUCAAAAAAUAUUUUAAGAAUUCUCAUGUCACUGGAGCAAUAUAGAAACGAUGACAAACAACAACAACAACAAAAAAAUAAUAAUAUUAUUAUUAUAAUAAUUCCUGUUAGAUCAUCUUGUAGAUAGCUUCCAAAAAAAACAUACGUAAAUCGAAUUCAACCAAAAAAAAAAAAAAGUUAUUUCUAUAUAAAUUUGCUUCUUGCACACACACACACACG